rnacentral:ncRNA from 2 species
AAAAGGAAAGGGGUCAGAAUCCCCUGCUUUACCCGAAGCUGUAUGUGUAUGAGCCCCGCGUUCGCGACGAAAGUCGGUCACUGAAAGGGAAGGCGGAACGCCGGGCGCAGUCGAGGCAGUCGACCUAUUACACGAGCCAGAAGACUU